CGAAAAGAAGAAAGCCACGAAAACGGAGAAUACAUCACCCACAAUUAAAUCAUCAGCACCAGAUGACACAACAAGCGUUAAGUGGGAAACCGUAUCACGUAAAAAGAUAACCAAAAAGAAAGUAGUGUCUGUAGUAAUAGGGAAUAAAGAAGAUGUUACAAAAUCUUCUAUUAAGGCUGCCCCCAAAAAAGGAUUUAUUUUUGUAUCACGCCUGGCGCCAAAUACAAAACCGACUGAAGUUUGCGAACUACUGAAAGGUGAAUUCCCGGAAGUCCAAUGUGAACAAGUGGAAACCAAAUAUCCUAUGUUCUACUCUGCUUUCAAAGUAACAAUUGACCUACACCGUUUCCAAGAUGCAAUGAAUCCACAAAUAUGGCCCAAUGGCAGCUAUGUUACGCGAUAUUUUCACCGAAGAAGCCGACAGAAAAAAUCCACUUAGCUGCCCAUAACGCCUAUGAGGACAACCCAGGUAAAAGGCUGAUGAGCGAAACAGACAACAGCCAUACAAGUAGGAAAACCGCACUAGGAGUCAACUGGCUAAACCUUUUUUAUCUAAAUAUACAGUCACUGCGGCGUAAAUGAACACUGGUUAACGGCAGCCGAGGUGGAGAUCUUAACACUACUUGACUAUAAGGUGGCCAGCAGCUUUUGUCGCAAAAAAGGGUAUGGUGGUGCUGCAAUAUUAAUAAGACCAAAUGUAAGGUAUUCGGAAUUAAAUUUAGCAUCCAUAUCUAAGCAAACGGUUGCUGAGGUUGCCGGCAUCUUUCUAACGGAGUACAGGGCAUAACGUUGGAUACAACUCUCUGCUGGGAAGCUCAUGUUGAUGUCUUAAGCAAGAAACUUGCAAAAACAAUUUACCUAUUACGUAAACUCAGUAGUAUAGUGUCACUUAACAUUAAAAAAUUAGUAUAUUUCAGCCUAUUCCAGAGCCAUUUUGCGUAUGCUCUUGCGACUUGGGGACAUACAACACAUCUUCCCAGAAUUUUCAAACUUCAGAGGAAAGCAAUUCGUAUAAUAUCUAAUGUGAACUAUAGAGAAGAUGUGAGGCAAUAUUACGUAGAACAUGGAAUCUUGACAGUUCCAUCGCUCUAUGUAUACCAAUGCUUAGUAAAUGUGAAAACGCGCAUUGAAAGCUACACGAAAAAUCGCGACCACCAUUGUUAUAACACCAGACAGGGUGAUGAUAUCUGCCUUGACUUUCGGAGAAUAAAUAAAAGUAGAAACUCCAUCAAUUACUAUGGUCCUCAGUUUUACAACUGCCUACCCGAUAAUAUUGCGUCACUACCAAUGCCCCAGUUUCUAAUAAAAAUUAAAACAUU